AGGAAUUGAUGUUUGAAUGCUCCGAUAGUGUAACCCAGGAGCAGUACCUGCACCCGAUGUCCACUGUUUCGUCCACUCCUUUCGUAGGUAUAAUUUGGGCAAAGCUAACAGGUCUUCAGAAACAUUUUUAAAUGGAAACAUGUCUCCACAGCUAAUAGCAUCUCGAGCUAAUUCAUCAACUUUUUCAUUGCCUUUAAUCCCUCUGUGACCAGGAAUCCAAGCAAUAGAGACAGAAUACCCUUGUAAAUGACAUUUUAACAAUAAGCUACGGAUUUGAUAAAUAAUUGGAUUAUGAGAUUUAGAUUUGAAAGGAAAUUUAGAUAUUGCUUGAAGAGAACUUAAAGAGUCUGAAAAAAUAAUUGUGUUUUUAAGAUGCAUUAUGAUGAUAAAUUCUAAUGCUUUCAGGAUUCCAAAGCAUUCACCACUGUACACAGAGGAUUCAGGAGGCAACUUUAUCUUUUGGUAAAUAUUGGAUUGAAUGUGAAGUACACCAAUACCAACACAGCCAUUGGUGGACAUCUUAGAAGCAUCUGUAUACAUAUGAUUAGCACCCUGACAAUCAGUACCAAUAAAACCCAGAAAUUGUUGGUUUUGAUCUAUAUCAUUCUUUGAAAUACCUAUAUUCAGGAGAACCGGCGGGACUAAUGUAAGAGACUCAUAUUCAUGUUGAAAAAUGGGAAGUGUAGAAGAGCUAACAGUGGGAGCUGAAAUAGAUUUAAGCUUUUGAAAACUUUUGAUUAAACAAGGAGGACUCUUGUGUUUCCAAUAAUUGGAUGUAGUUAUUUGAAGAAGGAGGCUAGACAACAUACCCCAGAGUUGGUGAUUAGAGAAUUGGGAGCAACGGAAAAUAAAUCUAUCACAAAGAUAUUGGCGUCGUAAAUGGAGCGGAGGCUCAACACACUCAACUUGCAUAGCAUUAAUAGGGCUUGAAUUCAUGGCGCCACAAAUUAUUCUCAGGGCUUUAGAUUGAAUACGGUCUAGUUUUUGGAAUCCAGCUACAUAUCCAGGCUCUAACAAAAAUGUCCCGUAAUCUAAAAUACUUCUUAUUAAGGCAUUGUACAUUAAUUUCAUACAAAAAGGAUGUGAACCCCACCAAACACCAGAAACACACCUAAGGAUAUUAAUAUUUUUUUCACAUUUAGAAACUAUGUACUCACAAUGUGGGAGGCCUGUUAAUUUACUGUCUAAAAUGACACCAAGGAAUUUAGUUUUAUCUUUUACUGAAACGGAGUAGUUAUCAAAUUGAACCUUGAUUGGAGGAGGAAAUAGCUUUCUAGUAAAUAAAACCACAACACUUUUAGAAACAGAAAGUUCUAAACCAUUAGAAUCUAACCAUGACUUCAAGAAACCUAAGGAACAAGUGACCGAUCUACUGGCCUGUUCAGGAGAAAGAUUUGAUGAGUAAAGUAAUAAAUCGUCGGCAUACUGUAAGACCCUAACUGUACCAUUUAGAGAUGACUCUAAAUCAGACGUAUAUAUAUUGUAUAACAAUGGACUUAAUACAGAUCCUUGUGGUAGUCCUCUCCACACUAAACGAGAAAUUCUAUUGUUGUUGUCUAUAAGAAGACUAAUGGACCGUUCAGAUAAAAGGUUUAUUACAAAAUUACUUAACAUUUCUGGAAUGCCUAACUUGAGAAGCUUUUCAUGUAACACAGAAACCAAAACAUUAUCAUAAGCAGCACUUAUAUCCAGAAAAGCGGCUACUACUGACUCAUUUUUAGAAAAAGCCAAUCGUAUAUCUGCAAUUAAUAUUGACAAACUAUCAUAGGUAGAUCUACCUUUUCGGAAUCCAAACUGACUAUGAGAUAGUAAUUGGUUCUUUUCAACAAAAAAUUCUAGUCUGUUUUUAAUUAAGUGUUCAGCUAUUUUUGCAAAUACUGAAGAAAGGGCAAUAGGGUGAUAGGAUGAAACAUCUGAUGCUGGUUUAUUGGGUUUUAAAAUAGGAAUAACUAUUUGGGAUCUCCAUGAAUCUGGGACUAUACCGGACUGAAUAACUGAAUUUACUAUGCUUAGAUAAUAAGAAAGUAUGCCAUCACUGGCAUUUACUAAAAAUGAGUAAGGCACUCCAUCUUCACCAGGAGCACUAUCUUUUAAAUUACUUAACACACUUUUUAAUUCCUCCAUUUUAAAAGGGCAAUUAAAGGUGGAAUCUAAGGAAGGAUCGUAUAAAAAUGUUGCAGGUUGGAACACAAACUCUUCAGGAACAGAUGAAGGGAAUACAUCAUCAGCUACUUCUAUGAUCACCCUGGCCAGGGCAACCGAGCAGCCGACUAUGUCAGUAUCAUCUAAACUAGGCAAAAACAACAAUUUCUUCUCUACACAGCUUUUGAAAUUUUCCCAGUCAACAUUACAUAAAUUGUAUUUAAGCCUUGGGCUAGGUUUCGGAGAUGGACGUGUAGAUGAAGGAAAUGAGACUAUAAUUGGAAAAUGAUCACUACCAAAUGUAGAAUCAAGAGUUUGCCAGGUGAAAGAAGAUGCAAGUUCAGCAGAGCAAAUGGAUAGAUCAACAGCGCUGGGUGAUUCUGUAGGCGCUGUACGGCGAGUUGGAGAGCCAGUAUUAAGUACACAAAGAUUGUGAUCAUCUAAGAUUUUUAAAACACGAAGUCCAUUAUAGUUGGAUACUGAACUGCCCCAAAACUGAUGGUGUGAGUUGAAAUCUCCUAGAAUCAACAAGGGCCUAGGUAGAGAAGAAAUUAUAUGUUCUAAUUCAUUAAAAAUAGAAGAUGAUUGAUGAGGAAUAUAUACAGAGAGAAUGCAGAUGUUAUUUACAAUGGCAGCAACAAUUGAGAAAUCAUCACUGUGAGAUGGAAGCUGAAGAGAUGAAAAUGAUUCAGAGUUCCUGAUGAGUAAAGCUACUCCACCCCACCCAUCAGGACGGUCCUCUCUGAGGCAUGAAUAGCCAGUAGCUCUAAGAAGAGCUCCAGGCUUGAGCCAUGUCUCAGAUAGGGCAAAAACACAUGGAUUAAAUUUAUUUAAUAAAUGAAUUAAAUCAUGUUUUUUAUUGA